AGUGUGGCUCAGGGCAGAGUGUGUGCUUAGCAUGCAUGAGGUCCUGGGUUCAAUCCCUAGCACU
rnacentral:tRNA from 1 species